rnacentral:rRNA from 1 species
AUGAACGCUGGCGGCGUGCCUCAUACCUGCAAGUCGCGCGAACGGACGAGAAGCUUGCUUUUCUGAUGUUAGCGGCGGACGGGUGAGUAACACGUGGAUAACCUACCUAUAAGACUGGGAUAACUUCGGGAAACCGGAGCUAAUACCGGAUAAUAUUUUGAACCGCAUGGUUCAAAAGUGAAAGACGGUCUUGCUGUCACUUAUAGAUGGAUCCGCGCUGCAUUAGCUAGUUGGUAAGGUAACGGCUCACCAAGGCAACGAUGCAUAGCCGACCUGAGAGGGUGAUCGGCCACACUGGAACUGAGACACGGUCCAGACUCCUACGGGAGGCAGCAGUAGGGAAUCUUCCGCAAUGGGCGAAAGCCUGACGGAGCAACGCCGCGUGAGUGAUGAAGGUCUUCGGAUCGUAAAACUCUGUUAUUAGGGAAGAACAUAUGUGUAAGUAACUGUGCACAUCUUGACGGUACCUAAUCAGAAAGCCACGGCUAACUACGUG